ACACAAUUAAAAUCACCACUUAUAAGCCAUGCAUCUUGCUGAGGAAUAGAAAUUGUUCUGAGAUCCCUCCAUAACUGUGCUCUAAGAACUGCAGUGUUGUAAGCAUAGAUAAUAGUGAAGUGGAAUCUUACUAGACUUCUAGUAUCCUCCACUAGACAAUGAAUGAACUGGUCAGAAAGAGACACCCCUUGAAUCUGAAUAUGAGGUUUCCAUAAAAGCCAUAUCCUCCCAUUAACAGCUUUUGCAUAGUUGCAUUGCCACAUCCAGUCCUUUGCAAUUUUGUCAAAUAUUUUCUUGGCUUUAUGCUCUUUUAUUCUUGUUUCCAGUAUACCAAUUACAUCAACUUUGUUAUCAUUAAGGAAUUUUUUCAAUUCCUUCUGCU
rnacentral:lncRNA from 1 species